GCGCUGCUGACUAGUCGCAAACAGGACGAAACAGCUGUCCGGUGC
rnacentral:hammerhead_ribozyme from 1 species